rnacentral:lncRNA from 1 species
UAUAUAUAAAUAAAAUUAUAGUGUAGAGCUACUAUGCUAUCAGAAGCAUAAAUUAGUUGGUGCUUUUGAUUUUUUAGCCCUUAGAUCAAAAAUUCUACAGUUGGGAUGAUAAUGGUCUUUUUAGGAUUGAGUGGCCCCCCUAGGGUUGAGUGGUUCUCAUUGGUUAAUAAUAUUAAUCCAAUGGUUAAAAAUGAUCAAUGGGUUGAUCUAAGGACUAAAAAAUCGAAAACACCAACCACUUUAUGCUUCUGAUAGUAUGGUAGCUCUACUAUAUAUAUGGUGAGAGCGAGAGUAGAGCUUCUAUACUCUUAUAAAUUGGUAGCUCUACUAUAUAUAUGGUGAGAGCGAGAGUAGAGCUUCUAUACUCUUAUAAAUGUAGAGCUCUUUGUAUUUAUAAAUUUUCUGUUGUUGAAUGAAGGGAUGUGCGAUUAGAAUGAUAGUGGUCCCAUGUUAGGAUGAUAGCAGUUCCUUAGAAUUUAGUGGGUGUUUGGUUGAAUAGUAUGAUUUAACAGAUAAAAAUGGUUAACGAAUACAUCUAACGGCCGAACAUAUAUAUAUAUAGUGGAGCUAGAAUACUUUUAGAAGUACCAAGUGGAUGGUGGUUUAGUAUUUUUAGUCCUUGGAUGGAGAUAUGUGAGGUUGAGAUAAUGGUGGUAGGUGGUGGUAGGUGGAAUAGUGUUUGAUCCAAGGAAUAUUAAUAAUUAUGGAGUGGAUCCAAGGGUUAGAAAUUUAGAAGCACCAAGUGGGUGGUGCUUCUAAAAGUAUCCUAGCUCAACUAUAUAUAUAUAUAUAUAUAUAUAUAUAUAUAUGAGUGAGUACGAAGAGAUCUAUACUCAUAAAAACAUAGUAACCAGACUCUCUCACUCUCUCUAUAUAUAU